UACGUAGGGUGCGAGCGUUGUCCGGAAUUAUUGGGCGUAAAGAGCUCGUAGGCGGCUUGUCACGUCGGAUGUGAAAGCCCGGGGCUUAACUCCGGGUCUGCAUUCGAUACGGGCUGGCUAGAGUGUGGUAGAGGAGAUCGGAAUUCCUGGUGUAGCGGUGAAAUGCGCAGAUAUCAGGAGGAACACCGGUGGCGAAGGCGGAUCUCUGGGCCAUUACUGACGCUGAGGAGCGAAAGCGUGGGGAGCGAACAGG
rnacentral:rRNA from 1 species